CCCUUAGAUGUCCUGGGCCGCACGCGCGCUACACUGACAUGUUCAACAAGCCUCCUAGUUCGACAGGAUUUGGGAAAUCUUUGAACGCAUGUCGUGAUAGGGAUAGAUCAUUGCAAUUAUUGAUCUUGAACGAGGAGUUCCUAGUAAACGCGAGUCAUCAGCUCGCAUUGAUUACGUCCCUGCCCUUUGUACACACCGCCCGUCGCACCUACCGAUUGAAUGUUUCGGUGAAGAUUCCGGAUAGGACUUUUUUGAUUUAUUUCAAUUUUGUCUUAAAAGCUAUCUAAACCUCAACAUUUAGAGGAAGGUGAAGUCGUAACA
rnacentral:rRNA from 1 species